UCUGUCUGAAAAUGUGCCCUAUCUAACUCACUGUUCAUCAUGUUUCAGAUUCUGCUGUACAUUUACGGUCUGUUAAUUUCUUUGAGGCUCUUUUCAGGCUUCUGUAUUUUAUAAUGUCACUAAUGACAAGUGUCAGUUUGUUCAGGUGACAUGUCAAAGGAAAUCAAGGUAAGAAUUAAUGCAUUCAUUUAUUGCUGGUUUAAUCUACUGACCCUGUCACAGUCAACACAUUUCGCUUUAUGAUUUCAACAAGCCACUAGACUUAAGCUGGAACCGGCUUUCCUGUGGUGGACUGAAGUUUUCUGACCAGCGGUUGGUGGACAAGCUACGUGAAAAGAGCAGCCCUGAGUGCCAAGAGUUUUUCUCGGCUCUGGCCCUUUGCCACACUGUCAUGAGCGAGUGGAGGGAUGGUUUGCCUCAUUACCAGGCUGCCUCUCCGGAUGAAGAAGCUCUGGUGUGUGCAGCGCGGGAGCUCGGCUGUGAUUCUCUCCCGCACACAAGAAACUCUCACCAUCAGUGAGAUGGGCCUCAUGCGAAACUAUCAGCUUCUAGCCCUCCUGGACUUCACCAGCAAGAGGAGACGCAUGUCAGUGCUGGGACGUGAGUGCCAAGAGUUGUCUGUUGGCCUGAGAUCUAGUCGAUUGGACAGAAGAAGCAGCUAUUUAAUCCAUUUGUUCUGGCCAUCACACUCCUCUACUCGUUCUACACCUCCAGCAUCCUGUUCUUCAUCCCUAUGGGAAUAUUGCAGUACUCUCGAUUAUCAGACUUUAGCCGUAACGGUUGAAACAUCUGUAGUGCUCACCAUCACUGUUGAGGUAACUAGAUGGCAUCAACAAAGGCUACAAUAAAAUUUAAUAAAAGUAUAAUUAAAUAA
rnacentral:lncRNA from 1 species